rnacentral:rRNA from 1 species
GACGAACGCUGGCGGCGUGCUUAACACAUGCAAGUCGAACGGUAAGGCCCUUCGGGGUACACGAGUGGCGAACGGGUGAGUAACACGUGGGUGAUCUGCCCUGCACUUCGGGAUAAGCCUGGGAAACUGGGUCUAAUACCGGAUAGGACCCUGGGAUGCAUGUCCUGGGGUGGAAAGCUUUUGCGGUGUGGGAUGGGCCCGCGGCCUAUCAGCGUGUUGGUGGGGUGAUGGCCUACCAAGGCGACGACGGGUAGCCGGCCUGAGAGGGUGACCGGCCACACUGGGACUGCGAUACGGCCGAGACUCCGACGGGAGGCAGCAGUGGGGUAGAUUGCACAGUGGGCGCAAGCCUGAUGCAGCGACGCCGCGUGGGGGAUGACGGCCUUCGGGUUGUACACCUCUUUCAGUAGGGACGAAGCGCAAGUGACGGUACCCACAGAAGAAGGACCGGCUAACUACGUGCCAGCCGCCGCCGUAA